CCAACCCCCAGGGCCUCAUUUUCGUCGUAUUUAUUAUUUGGCCCCACUUUGUCGGGGACGUUCCAGAACCUCACACUUUGGGCCGAGGCUUCGGGCAGGCAGGUGAAACGCAUCACAGUGGCCCCGGCCACUCGGCGGCGUCUAGAAGUUUCGGCGCGAGAGGUAGACUGGGAACCAGCGGCAGGGCUCGUGGAGACCGGGCGAGAGUUCCCGCCCGGGUGACGACGCCUCGAGAAGAGGCACGUGCUUCUCCCAGGGCUUCCCAGCCUGCGCCGACGCCCGUGGCGCUGAGCGGAAACGAGGAGCGGGAAGGUGGUGGGGCACUUCAGGCCGCCGCGACGCGGAAGCUUGGGCGAGCAGGGAGGGUGCGUAGCCGCUGGAGGGUGUGGGCGGCCGGAAGUGGCUGGAAGGAGUUGGGGAGCCCACGCGGCCCCGAGUCCAGGCGGCGGCGGCGGGAACGCGGCGGUUCCUCCCGGCCGGCCACCUGUUACUGGCAGGUUCUGUGAGAACCGCCCUCAGCUCGCCCUUCUUCUGAGGGAAGAGAUUUGGAAAUAGGCGGUAAAGAAAUGUGUGACCAGAGAAGACUGGCUAAGGCGGCAGAAAGGAAGGACUCUGAGCUCACUUCCUCCUAUGGACACACCAAGAUUACAACUAUUACAGGAAAGCUAUUGAUGAAAAAGACUAGGACCUCCCAGAUCUUCUACAACUGCAGAUAUAAAGAAAGCACCACUGCAGGACGGACAGGAGAAAUGGAGUCACAUGUACAGUCAGGUUCUCUAUCCCUGAGUGGGCAACCCAAGAACAGGAGAAAAUUAUUAAUGCAGACAUUUUUCUCAAAGGAGCAAGAGGUCUGAUCCCCAUAUUGGACUCCUCUGCCCAAUAAUUUUGUGCCAAGAAGACAAGUCCCAGAAUGUUUGGAUUUGAAGGCCAGCAGGGCUUACUUUCAGGAGACCAAAACAUAGAUAGAGACUCUGCUUUUAAAAGAAUCGCCAGUCUGUAUCCGACGCAGGAUACAGCAUGCUUGGGGCUGGUGCACGGUGAUGACCCAGAGAGAUGUUAUGGGUAGGGAGGUGGGAGGGGGGUUCAUGUUUGGGAAUGCAUGUAUACCCGUGGUGGAUUCAUGUCAAUGUAUGGCAAAACCAAUACAGUAAAGUAAAAUAAAGUGAAAAUAAAAAUUUAAAAAAUAAAAGAAUAAAAUAAAAAAAUAAAAAUAAAAGGUGC
ensembl:lncRNA